rnacentral:pre_miRNA from 1 species
UGUGAUGUUUGAGUGUGGCAAAGCGUAUAGUCUGUUGGCUACUGUAUAUGAUUAUAGCAGUAGCCAACAGACUAUACGCUUUGCCACACUCAAACAUCACAU